UAUGUAGAAUUGGAGUGUGUGCCACUGAGGCCCACACCUCUGUUCCCUUCCUCUGUUCCCUCUUCUAUCGGUCUCAUUAUGCUCUCAGUCGAACUCCCUCACUUCUCUCUCAUUUUUUCCCCUCAUCCUUAUCUCCCUCUAGUCUCUUUUCCCCGAGCCACACAACUAUUAACCACCACCUUCUCCGACGACUUUAAACACCAAACCACCACCAUCUCGUCUCCAAACACAAGACUAGUGCCCAAACCCUUGACUCGAACCUCAAAUUGGAGAACCACACGUCUCGAACCCGAGAGAAUUCCGGCGAGUUCAUCGCCUUCCCGACCGAGCUUUUUCGAGCUUUUCCCGCCCAAAUCUCGUUGAAGACGAUGAUAUUGAUACCAUAAACGAACUCUUCACAGUCCUAGGGACCAGAUUCGAGCUUUGUUGGUUGAAUCUGUCAUGGAUUCGUAGAGACCCAAACUGGCCGUGACUUUCAAGCCAUUUUCCAGCCACCUCCAGCCAUCCUUUGGCCUCGAUUUAGGGAAAAACUAUUUGAAGGAAUACUUAAACAAAAAUGGAAGAUCUUCUCCUGAUGAUCAUCUUCAUUAAUUCGUUUAUGGAGCAGCAGAGAUUCGAUGAGGUGCAAGGCUUGCUGGGGAAGAUGCAUCUGUCCAAAAAUGUCUGCUUUCAAGUUCUUUUUGCAUAGAGAUGAAAUAUGUAACAUUACAAUAUAUGUUUGUGAGAUUGAGAAUGAAUUGUAGGCCUUCUACAUUUUAUGAAAAUUAAGAAAAAAAAACCUCAAUUUCAGUUUC